CACUGCAUCUUCUCCGCUUUGGUUCUACCGCCCCAUUCCGCACCCCCGACCUCCCCCAUCAUCCACAAAACGAAUCUGCCAUGGAGAGGGCCGACCUUGGGCGAGCGGGCUUGCGCCGUCGGCCAAGCACGAGCUCACCGACGCGAUUCCGAGGGAGAGGUGGUGGAGGCACGCAGAGGCAGUAGGGAGUGGCGGCGUCGCGGAUCUACCGCGUGAAGGGGACAGGGCGCUUCUAGCGCACAGGCAGGCCUGCUCGGCAGCGACCAUGGCGACGCGCAGCGACCAUGGCGACGCGCAGGCGCAUGAGCGAGCGACGACCAAUGGAGGCAACUGAUUGCUGCGGCUAUGGGGGCCAGACAUCAUCGCGGAUAGCAAUCGUGUGGUGUCUUGGCGCGACGGGUGUAAUAGUAUGUGUUCAUUUUUUUUUUGUAGUAUUAUGGAUGGUGAAUCUUGCCUCUGAUUCUCUGUUUGAGCAAUACGUGCAAGCCAUUGCUUGGUGGCAAAAUAUUCAGUGUUGAUCAUGCAUGUUCCAUUGGAUUUUGAGUGGUAUUCAGUUUCGAAGUAUACAGUGUUGAACUUCCAUGUUACAUUGGAUUUUAACUGGGAUCAGUUUCAUUUUUCUUUCGUUUGAUGGAAGCAAGACGGGCAAAUAACUAGGAUGGAUAUUAAUGUCAAUCAUUUUCCUAAUAUUACUGGCUUUUAUUUGCACUGUUGUAAUUGCUCUCGGUACAUCUUAGUUAGAGAACUGUAAAAGAGGAUUUGUGUUUAUAAUAUUUUAGCCUAUUAUGACACCACCAUGUGUAAUGCAUGAGCAUGACUAAACGAGUACAUACUAAGAAUGAAUUAGAAUCUCUAAGAAUGAAAACGAGUACAGACUAAGAAUGAAUUAGAAUGUUAGAAAAUUUGAGAAUAUCAAUUUCCUAAGAAUAAAAACGAGCACAGACUAAGAAUGAAUUAGAAUGUUAGGAAGUUGAGAUUCUAAUUCAUUCUUAGCCAAUCUAGAAGCACUCAUGUGUUCAUAUUAGGUGAGAAGAAGCCAUAUUUGUUCUCUCAAACUUAUAGAAAUGCAGUCUAAAUAUUGUUUGUGAAACAUAAUGUUAGUUUGUAUGCAAUGAUUUUGGUCUUCUUGAAGGGAGUCCUCUGUGUCUGACGGCUCCGCCAUAUCCUCACAUACCGUCAUGGACCUCCCACAGAUCCGAAUCAUAGUGGGCAACACUGACUGUCAGCGGACCACAUCAGCCACCUCUGUUCUGCAACAACGCCACCUAUUGCCGCUGGUAACCCACCCCUCCACUAGAUUUGUGAAUUAUUGGGUCAUUUUCAGGUUAUAUAUUUAUGUUAAAAUUUCUGGAGUGCUGGUAUUAUUUAAUUUUCUGCAAGGAAGCUUACACACUCUGUUUGGGAGCCCACUGUAAUAAUGGCAUGUAUGCAAAAUCAAUGUCUCAAUCUAAUAUAUGGUGUUGGUUUUCUUAGCAAGACAAUAAUAGUAUAGGUUUGAAGGUUGUACCUUUAACUUUCAAAAUGAAAACAAUUCUAGCAAUCUAGCAUAAGUAUUGGAAUAUCUGAUUAUGCUUUGAUAUCUAUGAUACAUAGAAUAUCCACAUAUGUGACAUCUGUAGUUUUUGUUACUCCAUACUAGACCGGUUAGUGAUUACUGGGUUUUGCAUCUACGCGUUGCGGCCUCUCCUUUUUGCUCUCUUUGCCCCGACUCUAGCGCCUGGUCGGGUAUUUCCUUGCAUUGUGUUACUCUUCAUCUUCCAUUGGUGGAGGGCUGAGAGAUUAGUCGCCAUGUCUUCCUAAUGCUCCACGGUGAGCGAGUCUUAGAAAACAUCUCUAUGGUUGAUAUCUCCCUCAUUUCUCAGAUUUUCUGGUUCCUUUAUAGCUUGGUCAUCUUCUUUACUCCCAGAAAUUUGCAUGAGUUGUUUAGAGAAGAUAGUUACAAUGAUUCCGCAGUUCUUACAUAUAUUAAUGUGCAGUGUGUCGCUAUCUGACAUUUACUCCAGCAGCAGCAAGUUACAAUUGGGAAACGAUUCCAGAGAGAUAAUUAAAUAUGUAUGUACUGCUUCUAUAGUCUAUUCUCUGAAAAAUCGUGUUUCCUAGAUACAGAAAUAUGUUGCCUUGAGGUUAGGAACAAACUUUUGGGUAAUGUUGCACAAUUUGUUAGAGUGUUGCACGAAUUUCAUAUUUAAUAAUUAUAUAUUCUUGAGGCAUAGAGCUAGCAAAGAAAAUCUGAAUAUGGUUGCUGAAUAUACCUAGCUGCAAUUACAGAAAUACCAAGAGGUUAAGACCAAGUUUAGUACUUCCUCCGACCCAUAUACUAAAUCUGAGACAAGUAACAUGGGAUGGAGGGAAUAUUUGUUUUGUCAUAAUUUCUUUGAGGCACUAAUCUAGAAACAUUGUGAUGUUAUCAGUUGUGAGGGAGAUAUUUUUGGGAGCAAUACAAUGAUACCUAAUUAGGCAGUAUGGAUGAGGCAUGAUUUUGUCUUCUGUUUCUGUACGUAGGUGCAUGCUUGAUUUUGUCAUAUGAUUGCGGAUUUCUUCGAACAUGGUUCAGUUUUGAGCCUUUGAUGCAGUUCAGUUCUCCUAAUUGACAUAACUGCACUGCAUUUAUUUAUGCCCUCUGAGGUAAUAAAAAAACAAUAUCUAUUAAUUCAGGCUAGGUCUACAGGUUUGCUAGAUGAUCUCAUGAGAUGAGAUGCAUGACCAUGUGGUCAAAUGCUAAAAUUGAUAACAACGACGUCCUAACAGCGCUUGAAGGUUACCUUAUACGUUUUUUUCUCUUGAGCCAACAAAAAGGUGUGUCAUCUCAUUUGUAGUUUGUUGAGCUCAAAAUUGUUACUAGAAUUAUUUUUAUUGGAAAUUAACCAAUUUUGUUAGUCUAUUUGUAUUUACUGUUUAACAAUCUUAUUUUUCUUAGCCAGUAGAUUGAUCCUGACUUUGUUGCUUCCUGACAUAUGUCGUUUCAGUUUUGCACUUGGUAUGGAUAUUCAGGUUUAGCCAUCUAAUAUUUAAAUAAAUUACACACAUGUGUGAAUCAUGCAAUUAAGAUGAAGUCAUGCCUUUGUACAACUAAGAUUGACCCUUUCUAAAGGAAUGGAAAGCACAAUGCCUAUGUUCCAAAGGAUUGUAGCAAAAACAAAAGUUGAAUUUAGGUUUUGUUCAGAUAUAGUGUGCUAGGAUGGUAUGUCAUUUAUGGUUCAAAAUUAAGCUUACCGUUUCUUCCCGGUGAACAUAUCCUUACAUGUGAAUUCAACAAUUCUGCCAUAGAAAUCACAGUGUUGCUAUUCUUUAUCUCAAACAAAUAACUUUGUCUGCUCUGAGAAAGAAGUCAGUUUUUGUACUUCCUAAUGAUCUUAAUGUGAUGUUCUAAAUUUAUUUAAGAUUGGUGUUCUAUUAUUUGGAUAAGAAAAUUUGGAGCGUAUCAAAGCCACAUCUUGGGUAUGGUAUAGUUCACUUGAUUUACCUUUGUCAGUGGCCUGCAACAGGAGUCUGCUUCUACUGGACGUAAAACGGGGAUGUGUACAUUAAGUGUUUUGUUGGUUACGGGAUCAUACCUUUAAGCGAGUUUCUGAAAAAUCUGGUCAUGAAGUGAUGCAAUAUUAACAGGCAUUGCAUUGAUGCUUGGGAUGGAGAAACCUAAAAGGUCUCAGGCAGAGGCUAUUGCAUCCAAUGUAAUCAACAGAAGGGGAUUAUCUAAGAUUUUUUUAACAUGUUGACAUUCAAACGUGGCAGAUCAUUGCAAUAUUCAGUUGAUUCUUGUGUUAUGUCUUGCUUUGGCAGAUAACAAAUUAAAAAGAAAGAAAAUCCAUAUUAUUACGGUUGUUUGCUUACAAGACAUCAUAUG